UCCCGAUCGGCAUUUUUCAGCUUCCAAACCUAAAGGUACUUGAUGUAAGCACAAAUCCAGACCUCAAAGGUUAUUUGCCUCCUUUCCAAUUGGGAAGUCUCUUUAAAUCAUUGAUGCUUUCUGGAACAAAUUUUGUUGGAGAGUUACCUUCCUCUAUUGGAAACCUUGCCUACUUGGAAUAUUUGGAUUUCUCCUCUUGCAAUUUCACCGGACAACUCCCUUCUUCCCUCGGUAACCUUACCAAGCUUACCUCUCUCAGUCUCUCAAAUAAUAAGUUUAGGGCCCCAACUUCUUCUUCCUUGUCUUGGAUCGGUAAACUGUCCGAUCUCAAUUCCCUUUCUCUAUAUCAUGUCGGAUUGAAUGGUGACUUCACAUUUUCUCUCUUGAACCUGACUCAUCUUUCUAGUUUAGAUUUGGGCUAUAAUCAACUUACUGGCCCAAUCCCUUCUUGGCUUAUGAACCUGACCAAUCUUGUUGAUUUAUUUUUAGACCAUAAUCAUUUCAAUGGUCAAAUCCCAUCAUGUCUCAUUUACGGAGCAAGUAUUGAACAAUUAUUUUUGGGUUCCAAUCAAUUAUCAGGUCAAAUCCCCUCUCAAACUAACAAUCAUUCUGAACUAAUCAUUUUAGAACUUUCAUCAAACAAAUUGCAAGGCUCCAUUCCAAG
rnacentral:misc_RNA from 1 species